UGAGGAAUCUUGCGCAAUGGGGGAAACCCUGACGCAGCAACGCCGCGUGAGUGAGGAAGGUCUUCGGGUCGUAAAGCUCUGUCAGGCGGGAAGAAAUGGAUGGAGGUGAACAGCCGCCAUGCUUGACGGUACCGCCAGAGGAAGCACCGGCUAACUCCGUGCCAGCAGCCGCGGUAAUACGGGGGGUGCAAGCGUUGUUCGGAAUCAUUGGGCGUAAAGAGCGUGUAGGCGGCUUGGUAAGUCAGAUGUGAAAGCCCUGGGCUCAACCCGGGAAGUGCAUUUGAAACUGCCAGGCUCGAGUAGGGGAGAGGCAAGUGGAAUUCCUGGUGUAGAGGUGGAAUUCGUAGAUAUCAGGAGGAACACCGGUGGCGAAGGCGACUUCCUGGCCCUAUACUGACGCUGAGACGCGAGAGCGUGGGUAGCAAACAG
rnacentral:rRNA from 1 species